rnacentral:ncRNA from 1 species
AUCUGAAUAUCAUCAUAAGUCAAUCCCUAUGCACAAGCUUCUGGCAGAGGUUUAGGGGACGUGGCGUGAUUCAGAGCUGUCAGCAAUUCCCGAUAGGGGUUGUAUGGGCAACAAUGCUUCUGGGGCUGUGGCGACAUGGCUUCGGGGAGUGCGUAACACACUUGGCACAACUGAAGGGCUGCGGGCGGGAUUGGCUUGGGAUGAACGGAAAAGGCAGGACAUUUGGGGCUGGAGUCCUACAAUAGACGCUCCCUGUGGGAGAAUAACCCUUGAAUAUCAUAUCCGUUGCAGGGGUAUGGGAUAGAGGGAAUUGCAGAAAGGACUCCUGUGCGGUUGAGACUUGCGAAAGCGGGUCUAUAAAGCCUGAUGUCCGUAUGGUGGCACAAAGCCGUGCAAAUUUCUUAAUUGGAUUAUAAUUAUAUUCUGAAUGCUGUGUCGCCAUUCUGGGUGAAGUUCCCAGACACGCUUGGUCGAGAGAUUCUGCAAGAAGUAUUGGGGUAGCUCCCCUGUGCUCAGACUUGCGGACGUGGUGGCUGAAAAUGAUUCCGAUUCCAAGCUGGUCUUACGGCGAAGGUCGUGGCUUGUGGUGAUGUUCAG